ensembl:scaRNA
GGCCUCUCUCCCAUGGUGCUGUGGGUGGGGGAGGGAGGGUGCUUUUCUCCUCAGCGAAGACUGGAGGCCGACAUCAGCCCUCAAGGAUCAUCCUCAGAACUGCCAUGAGCUGGGCAGCCUUGUUUUCCUACCUCACACAUUU